UACGGGGGGGGCAAGCGUUGUUCGGAAUUACUGGGCGUAAAGGGUUCGUAGGCGGCCAACUAAGUCAGACGUGAAAUCCCUCGGCUUAACCGGGGAACUGCGUCUGAUACUGGAUGGCUUGAGUUUGGGAGAGGGAUGCGGAAUUCCAGGUGUAGCGGUGAAAUGCGUAGAUAUCUGGAGGAACACCGGUGGCGAAGGCGGCAUCCUGGACCAACACUGACGCUGAGUGAGCGAAAGCCAGGGGAGCAAAACGGGG
rnacentral:rRNA from 1 species